rnacentral:rRNA from 1 species
AUUGAACGCUGGCGGCAGGCCUAACACAUGCAAGUCGAACGGCAGCACAGAAGAGCUUGCUCUUUGGGUGGCGAGUGGCGGACGGGUGAGUAAUGUCUGGGAAACUGCCCGAUGGAGGGGGAUAACUACUGGAAACGGUAGCUAAUACCGCAUAACGUCGCAAGACCAAAGUGGGGGACCUUCGGGCCUCACACCAUCGGAUGUUCCCAGAUGGGAUUAGCUAGUAGGUGGGGUAAUGGCUCACCUAGGCGACGAUCCCUAGCUGGUCCGAGAGGAUGACCAGCCACACUGGAACUGAGACACGGUCCAGACUCCUACGGGAGGCAGCAGUGGGGAAUAUUGCACAAUGGGCGCAAGCCUGAUGCAGCCAUGCCGCGUGUAUGAAGAAGGCCUUCGGGUUGUAAAGUACUUUCAGUGGGGAGGAGGGCGGUGAGGUUAAUAACCUCGCCGAUUGACGUUACCCGCAGAAGAAGCACCGGCUAACUCCGUGCCAGCCGCCGCUGUAAUAC